rnacentral:lncRNA from 1 species
GCUUGUUUAACGUCACGAGCCUGACCCAAACCUGGUUGGCACUUGUCAGUAAGUGCACUACCUUCCACCACCCAUCAGUAGGUGUACCUUCCGGAUAUCCUUCAGUGGAUACCAAAAAUUUAGCAUCCCUCAGUAGAUGCUACCCAAAAAUUGUUCAUAAAAUUCAAAAAGUACAUGUUCCAACGAAAAUAAAACAAAAGACCGAAAAAGAAAAUUGUUCAUAAAAAUACAAAAUUUGAUUUCCAGCAAGUUCAACUCUUUUUCUUCACGUUGGGAUCUUCAUCAUCCCACUUGCUCACUUUUCUUCGGUCCACCUUGUUGAUCACUGUUUAAUAUGGUCUUUGAAUUUCCACCAUUCCUUUUUCCUUCAGCUCCUUUACUAUCCAUUCCUUUUUCUUAAAUCUCACUUUGCUCCCCGGUAGGAGUGAAUCUUCUUUUGGUUUUGGGUGAAUGGUUCUUCUCCCUUUAUCCUCAGGCACCUGCAAN